rnacentral:rRNA from 1 species
CUCUACGGCCAUACUACCCUGAAUGCUCCCGACCUCAUCUGAUCUUGGAAGCUAAGCCGGGUCAGGCCUGGUUAGUAGUUGGAUGGG